CUUCAUUUCUCAGCCAAAACCUCAUCCUCCGAUUCAACAAAACCGAUCCCCAGAAGAUCGUCCUCGGCUGCACCAGAGGCGCCCUUUACCUCCUGCCGCUGUAGGGCAGGUGCAGAGGCCACAGCAGCCCAGAGCGCUCUCUCCACGAGGCCUCAUGCCCAGGCCUCAUCCAGUCACUGGCUUACACAGGAAGGACCAUCCAGAGCCUUGGAUUCACCAUCUGUGGUUCCCUGCCUACUGCCUGCCUGGCUUCUCAGAGUGGACCUGCUGCUGCCACGCCUUCAAGAGCCUCUUCCCUGAGAUGGUUUCUCUCUGUCCCUGUCAAGCCUUACUGCCGAAUUGUGGUGUAAGCAACCCAUCUCUCCAGACUGAGUGUUUGUCUAACCGGUUCUAACCGUGCUAUCCACAUUUGUGGGGUAUCUCAGUGGUCUGAGUACCUUCUCACCCAUGGUAUGGGCUGUUGGAAUUCUCCUGGUGACCUAGAUGCAGCACGGCCAUCGCUCCAUUUCACAGUAAGGAACCUACCCUUGUGGAACAGGGACUGUAGGAGAAAAAAAGCAGGCUACUCGUGUGGAGCCACAGAGUAACCGUGUGGAGACAGGAUGAAAGUCUAACAUCAUUACCUCCAUGUUGUCUCUUCUGCCUCCCGUGGCUGAAGGCACAGAAGUGAGUCGUCAACCUUA